CCGCGUGAAUGAAGAAGGCCUUCGGGUUGUAAAGUUCUUUCGGUAGCGAGGAAGGCAUUUAGUUUAAUAGACUAGGUGAUUGACGUUAACUACAGAAGAAGCACCGGCUAACUCCGUG
rnacentral:rRNA from 1 species